GAUGAACGCUAGCGACAGGCCUAACACAUGCAAGUCGAGGGGCAGCACAUGAGUAGCAAUACGAUGGUGGCGACCGGCGCACGGGUGAGUAUCGCGUAUGCAACCUACCUUCCACAGGGGGAUAGCCUUCCGAAAGGGAGAUUAAUACCGCAUAAAACAGGGGCCCCGCAUGGGGAUAUUUGUUAAAGAUUUAUCGGUGGGAGAUGGGCAUGCGCUCCAUUAGCUAGUUGGCGGGGUAAUGGCCCACCAAGGCAUCGAUGGAUAGGGGAACUGAGAGGUUUAUCCCCCACACUGGAACUGAGACACGGUCCAGACUCCUAUGGGAGGCAGCAGUGAGGAAUAUUGGUCAAUGGGCGGGAGCCUGAACCAGCCAAGUCGCGUGAAGGAAGACGGUUCUAUGGAUUGUAAACUUCUUUUGCACUGGGGUAAAACGGGGGACGUGUCCCCCCUUGCAAGUACAGUGCGAAUAAGCAUCGGCUAACUCCGUGCCAGCCGCCGCAGUAA
rnacentral:rRNA from 1 species